rnacentral:rRNA from 1 species
AACGAACGCUGGCGGCACGCCUAACACAUGCAAGUCGAGCGCAGUCCUUCGGGACCGAGCGGCGGACGGGUUAGUAACGCGUGGGAACAUACCCUUCUCUACGGAAUAGCCUCGGGAAACUGAGAGUAAUACCGUAUAAGCCCUUCGGGGGAAAGAUUUAUCGGUGAAGGAUUGGCCCGCGUAAGAUUAGAUAGUUGGUGGGGUAAUGGCCUACCAAGUCUACGAUCUUUAGCUGGUUUGAGAGGAUGAUCAGCAACACUGGGACUGAGACACGGCCCAGACUCCUACGGGAGGCAGCAGUGGGGAAUCUUAGACAAUGGGGGAAACCCUGAUCUAGCGAUGCCGCGUGUGUGACGAAGGCCUUAGGGUCGUAAAGCACUUUCGCCAAGGAUGAUAAUGACAGUACUUGGUAAAGAAACCCCGGCUAACUCCGUGCCAGCAGCCGCGGUAAUACGGAGGGGGUUAGCGUUGUUCGGAAUUACUGGGCGUAAAGCGCACGUAGGCGGACUUUUAAGUUAGAGGUGAAAUCCCAGGGCUCAACCCUGGAACUGCCUUUAAUACUGGAAGUCUUGAGUUCGAGAGAGGUAAGUGGAAUUCCAAGUGUAGAGGUGAAAUUCGUAGAUAUUUGGAGGAACACCAGUGGCGAAGGCGGCUUACUGGCUCGAUACUGA